AUUGAACGCUGGCGGCAGGCCUAACACAUGCAAGUCGAACGGUAACAGGAAGACGCUUGCUUCUUUGCUGACGAGUGGCGGACGGGUGAGUAAUGUCUGGGAAACUGCCUGAUGGAGGGGGAUAACUACUGGAAACGGUAGCUAAUACCGCAUAACGUCGCAAGACCAAAGAGGGGGACCUUCGGGCCUCUUGCCCUCGGAUGUGCCCAGAUGGGAUUAGCUAGUAGGUGGGGUAACGGCUCACCUAGGCGACGAUCCCUAGCUGGUCUGAGAGGAUGACCAGCCACACUGGAACUGAGACACGGUCCAGACUCCUACGGGAGGCAGCAGUGGGGAAUAUUGCACAAUGGGCGCAAGCCUGAUGCAGCCAUGCCGCGUGUAUGAAGAAGGCCUUCGGGUUGUAAAGUACUUUCAGCGGGGAGGAAGGGAGUAAAGUUAAUACCUUUACUCAUUGACGUUACCCGCAGAAGAAGCACCGGCUAACUCCGUG
rnacentral:rRNA from 1 species